AGCAGCCGCGGUAAUUCCAGCUCCAAUAGCGUAUAUUAAAGUUGUUGCAGUUAAAAAGCUCGUAGUUGAAUUUCGGGAUUGACACAUCGGUCGUGCCUUAAGGGGUAUGAACUGGUGUAGUCAAUUUCUCACCUUCUGGAGAACCGCGAUGCCCUUAAAUUGGGUGUCGCGGGGAACCAGGACCUUUACUUUGAAAAAAUUAGAGUGUUUAAAGCAGGCAUUUUGCUUGAAUACAUUAGCAUGGAAUAAUAAAAUAGGACGGCAUGAUUCUAUUUUGUUGGUUUCUAGGAUCACCGUAAUGAUUAAUAGGGAUAGUUGGGGGCAUUAGUAUUCAAUUGUCAGAGGUGAAAUUCUUGGAUUUAUUGAAGACUAACUACUGCGAAAGCAUUUGCCAAGGAUGUUUUCAUUAAUCAAGAACGAAGUUAGGGAUCGAAGACGAUCAGAUACCGUCGUAGUCUUAACCAUAAACCUAUGACCGACUAGGAAUCAGACGAUGUUAAUUUUUAAUGGUCUCGUUUGG
rnacentral:rRNA from 1 species